CUAUAGACCUAAACUUCUCUUAGUUCCAGUUCUUAAGUAUGUUGGUUCCAGCAUUAAAACAGCAGCUGGUAACUUAUCCGCUUUCUCCAUCAAGACCUGUACUGCAGUCCAGUGAAUAUGUUUGGAUUAUCUGGAGCAAGAAAAUGGGGCUGGGAAAAGGUGUCACUUCAGAGGAGGAAAAGAAACUAAAAAGAUUGGGGAAGAAGAAGAAAAGGGAAGAAUCAGAGGAAACAUGGAAAACGAGCAUCAGAAAAUCACAGAUGACUGAAAAUGCUAUUCAUGGGAGCUGGUCUUAAAUCAGGAUGUUUCUGCUCUCCUCUGACCUGUGUUAUGUGUCCGACAAAGCAUCAUUCAUGUGUCCUGAUUAGCCAUGGAAUUAGAGCGCUGCUUCUACUUCUGCAGCUAUUGACUGGACCGCUCAGCAACCAGUACGGAAAGAAACCAUCAGCAGUAUAUAUGGAACAGCAGACAAAUCCACUGAUGAUGGGAAAUUCCCAGAUGCUGAAUGCAUCUGUGUAGACAUGUACACAAUAAGUAAAACGUUCUCAGUCUUUAGCAAAAUACUCCACCUCUUUGGAGUUACUUAAAUGCUAAAUCUACUACAGCCAAGAGCUGUGCGCUGCAUCUGGGUGUGCAAUAUGGAUCAAACUCUCCAGUAAGACCGACAGUGUUAUUUAUGCUAUGAUCAGGACACUUCUUUCCCUAGUCAAUCCUUGUGAAGUUGUUGAAGGUUAGGACUAGAACAAAGUCUGUCUUUUCAUUGAC